CCUACGGGUGGCAGCAGUCGAGAAUUUUUCACAAUGGGCGCAAGCCUGAUGGAGCGACGCCGCGUGGGGGAUGAAGGGCUUCGGCUCGUAAACCCCUGUCAUUUGCGAACAAACCCUCGUUUUGAAUAGGAGCGAGGUUGAUUGUAGCGAAAGAGGAAGGGACGGCUAACUCUGUGCCAGCAGCCGCGGUAAUACAGAGGUCCCGAGCGUUGUUCGGAUUCACUGGGCGUAAAGGGUGCGUAGGUGGUGGGGUAAGUCUCGUGUGAAAGCUCGCAGCUUAACUGCGAAAAGUCACGGGAUACUAUUCCGCUGGAGGCUUGGAGGGGGGACUGGAAUACUUGGUGUAGCAGUGAAAUGCGUAGAUAUCAAGUGGAACACCAGUGGCGAAGGCGAGUCCCUGGACAAGACCUGACACUGAGGCACGAAAGCCAGGGGAGCAA
rnacentral:rRNA from 1 species